GCUCCAACUCCUAAAUAUAACUCCAGAAGUUGAGUCUGGAGUGGAGUUGUGAAGAAGAGCUCUACCCAACUCCACUCUUAAUUUUGGUGGAGCUGAAACUGUUUGGCUGAGCUCAGCUAUGCCAAACAGCCCCUAAUUUUCAUCUACAAACUUUAUUAAUUACUCCCUCUAUAUUUUAAUGUAUGACGCCGUUGACUUUUUAAUCCACGUUUGAUCACUCGUCUUAUUCAAAAAUUUUAUGCAAAUAUAAAAAUACUUAUAUCAUGCUUAAAGAACAUUUGAUGAUAAAUCAAGUCAUAAUAAAAUAAAUUCUAAUUAUACAAAUUUUUUGAAUAAGACGAAAGGUCAAAUGUUUGUCAAAAAAGUCAACGGCGUCAUACAUUAAAAUACGGAGGGAGUACUUAUUAGCGUCUAAUUUCGUUUUGGGAGUACCUAUACAUCUUUCGAAAUAUUUUUAUGAUUGUAUCACACAGAUUUUUAAUCUUUAGAUUAAAAUAUGAUAGAUAUAAUAAAAAAUAAAAAGCAAUUAAGAAACACCAUAAUGGACACUAAAUUACCAUAUCCUCAAGAAAAAGACCAAAUCCAAUACAAAAUUUAAAAUUUAUAUGCGAAGAUUCAAAAAUUACAGUGUAACUUACAAAAGUUACAGUGUAAGUUUUAUAAAUUACACUGUAACUUACAAGAGUACAAGAAAAUGCACUGUAAAUUUGAGUGAGAAAAUCGAGUGAGAGAUAAGAAAAAAAUCUUUCGAGUGAGAUAUAGCAAAAUCGUUUCGUUUUUAAUGAUGUGUUUAAUUAACUGCUUGAUUAAUGCAGCUGGGUUCGUGACGCCAUUGGAGAGCCUGAUCCUGACGCUGGUGGCGUGGGCCCCACUUGCAGGGGCCUUCAUGGCGGGACACGGCUCCGUGAGCCUGGUCUAUGGACACAUCCUCCUCUUCGACUACCUCCGGUCCAUGGGGUACAGCAACGUCGAGGUCAUCUCACACAAGACCUUCCAGGAUUUUCCCUUUCUCAGAUACCUCAUCUACACACCAUCGUGAGUCCUCUAAUUUACAUACUAUUCAUAAUAUCAUCCAAACUGAUCCACUAUGUUCCCUUACCUCGCUCCACUAAUUUAUAUUUAUUCAAAUUAGGCCAUAUUUGAUUUAAACUACUAAACAGAUUGUUGACAAAUUAAAUAUUUCAAAAAAUAAAUUUAACAGUAGCUUAAAACAAGUUGUCUAAAUAAUAGGCUUCUUUUCUUGAAAAAAAUAUUUUGUGAAGUGCAAAGCAAACAAUUUGUUAAAAUAUAUAGUCUGGUGAAUAAUAAGCUAAUUAAGAUAACAGGACAAACAUUUUUAGUAGAAAUUUAGUACAAUAUGUGUGUAGUGUGUUGUGCGCAUUCUACACCCUUUAUUUUCCAUACCAUAUACUCCGUAUUUAAAAACUUAAUAGGUACCAUAUGUACAGUACUUUCAAUACGAAUCCGGUAGGGAAAAAACAUACGGUAUAUAUUUUUCCUUUAUUUUACAUAUGUACUUCGUACUUAUUAGCAGCGUAUUUUCUUAAUUAACACCAUUUAAUGUCGCAUGCUCCCGUGCACGCGUCUGGAUAGAGGCCUAUAUGUGUACAGAGCGACAUGUCCAGUGCACUAUAGUCGAAGGCACCAAGUCAUAUAUCUGUAUGUGGUGUCACCAUGCAAUUAACUCGAAAAAGAUUGCACUUAGACAGCACAAAAAUAUACCAAAAACUGCCAAAUUAAUUGAAGUGUCACGCCCAUUGGCCAAUGUGGCGUCCACUGUCAUGUGUCGACCUUAAUUAGUUAUAUUAAGGCAUCUCUGGAUAAAACAUAUAAUUUCUGUUUCCAAAAUUGUCAACGAAUUAAUCAAGUUGUCGCAGUGAUGGCGAAGUUCUUGCAUUUCCAAAAAAGGCCUUGCUUGCAUGAGAAAUAAAAAGAUUGAUACUAUGAAACAUUGAAGUAAAUGAAUAAUGGACUAUCAGAUUUUGUAAUAUUAUCUACUCGAGGGUCCAAACAAGUGCAUAUUGUAAGGUUCAAAAGUUUUUUUUUUUAAAAAAAAAAACUAACGAGCUUAUAUAUAGAAAUCAUAGGAGCUAAGGAAGUGUGUCCACUAUGCAUUUUAUUACUGUAUGAGAGUCACAUUGUUGGAGCAUAUAUCACUUUCCAAUUUGGAAUACUCCUAUAUAUAUAUGUCGUGGUCAUCUAAAGCGAAUGUUAUCGAUCCUGUCCUGGUUAACGAAUGGAUCAGGUAUCCCUUAAACCAGUGACUGCAUUAAUAGCCAGGUUUGACGAGAAUGGCCAUAUGAUUUAUAACCCUAAUCAUUGCUGCUGCGUACUGGAAACUGAUAAUCAAUGCUCGUGAUAAACUGAUGGAGUACUAAUCAAGUGGUCAAAUGAUUUAAUUUUUCUCUAAUCAGGUGAGUCACUGUGCAUGAACAGAGCAGCUUAGAUAGGGAUGGGCUAGUGGUUGACAGGAAUUAAUUAAGAAGUUGAAACCAUUGUAGGGAGGUCUUGGAGACAUGAUUUGCAAUUUGGAACCCGGACUGACGUGACUUUUGUGUCCAUUUCGACGAUAUUCCUAGAAAUUAAGACUGCUGCUAAUUAAUCCUGUGGAUGCUUGUGGUGAUGUGUGCAGGUAUCUUAGCCUACACCACAGGGAGAAGGACUCCAAUUUCUGCCUGUUCAUGCCUCUCUUUGAUGCCCUGGGAGGGACCCUCAACCCCAAGUCUUGGCAGCUUCAGAAGGAGGUUGACCUAGGUAUUAGCUACUCUCUCUAUUCUAAAAUAUCACAAUCUACUUCCUCGCAAAAAAAAAAACAAAACAAUCUACUAUUAAAUUGGAUAUAACGUAGUACUACAAUUUAGACAGAGAGUUUAUCCAUAACCCAGAUUGAACUUAAAAAUCGAUGACCGUGUGUCUGAUUGAAUUGAAGAACUAAUUAGUUCGAAUCAUAUUUUUUAAUUUCUGUAGGAAAGAACCAUCGGGUGCCGGACUUUGUGUUCCUGGUGCACGUGGUGGACGUGGUGUCGUCGAUGCACGUGCCAUUCGCGUUCCGAGCGUGCAGCUCGCUGCCGUUCGCGACGCACCUCGUCCUUCUCCCGCUCUGGCCCAUCGCCUUCGGCUUCAUGCUCCUCCAGUGGUUCUGCUCCAAGACCUUCACUGUCAGCUUCUAUAAGCUCCGCGGCUUCCUCCACCAGACCUGGAGCGUGCCCCGCUACGGCUUCCAGGUCACACGUUUCAUCCAAGCCUCAAGGCUGAUUUCCAUUGAACUGGUUAGUGCAUGCAACUUAUCGUUUUAUUUUUUUUAAUGUCCUGCAGUAUUUCAUCCCUUCGGCGAAGAAGGGCAUCAAUGAGAUGAUCGAGCUCGCGAUCCUGAGGGCGGACAAGAUGGGCGUCAAAGUGCUCAGCCUUGCUGCACUCAACAAGGUGAGUAAUAGCAUCAUACGGAUUCGAUUAAUUAGCUACUCAUAAUUGUGUACCGAUCGUACUAGCUGUACUUCGUACUGCGUUGUGAGUGAUGGGUUGAUGUAAUUAAGCUGCUUGCAAGUGCAAGCAUGUUGGUUGUCUUCCUCUAGUAGGACAAAGUCAAGUGCAGACUGUGCAGUGUUAGUAGGUUGUUGUUAGCUAUAGCUCGAUUAAUUCCUUUAUGACACGCAUGUGGCCGUGCCAUUCUGGUACUGUGUCCAUACAGCGACGGAACUUUGGGCGAGUCGUAGUAUGCAGGUAGUACAAGUGAACACCAAUGUCCCAAUGAUUCUGUUUGUGAUAAAUUCUUGAUUCUGGGUAGGUAGCUAAACGUCAUUGGUUUGUACUGUGUACUACUCUUAGCAACGUGGUUAUAAUGGUUUCUUGUCAGAUGUCACUGAAUUUGACGGCAGGAAAGUUCAGUGAAAGAUCGAAUAUAUUAACUGAAACUGUAGUGAGUAAUUCUUUUUUGUGUGUGUGUGUGCUCGACAGAAUGAGGCGCUCAAUGGGGGUGGCACGCUGUUCGUCCGCAAGCAUCCCGACCUGCGGGUGAGGGUGGUGCACGGCAACACCCUGACGGCGGCGGUGAUCCUCAACGAGAUCCCCGGCGACGUCGCGGAGGUGUUCCUCACCGGUGCGACGUCGAAGCUCGGCAGAGCCAUCGCUCUCUACCUCUGUAGGAAGAAGAUCAGAGUCUUGGUACGUUCAUCAGAAGAAUGCUAUAGAGAGAAUGGAAGUGAUUCAGCUUAGCUUACUGUUUUUGUGUUUGUUUUGUUCAGAUGCUGACACUGUCAACGGAGAGGUUCAUGAAUAUUCAGAGGGAGGCCCCUGCGGAGUUCCAGCAGUAUCUGGUCCAGGUCACCAAGUACCAGGCUGCACAGAAUUGCAAGGUAGUACGUACGUAAAAUAUAAUUGAACUGGUCGGUGUAUGCAACUCAAUCAUGAUGUCUUACGACGGCGAUGUCGGUCGUCGCAGACGUGGAUCGUGGGGAAGUGGCUGUCGCCGAGGGAGCAGCGGUGGGCGCCGGCGGGGACGCACUUCCACCAGUUCGUGGUGCCGCCGAUCAUCGGGUUCCGGCGGGACUGCACGUACGGGAAGCUCGCCGCGAUGAGGCUGCCGGAGGACGUGGAGGGGCUGGGGACGUGCGAGUACACCAUGGGCCGCGGCGUCGUGCACGCGUGCCACGCCGGCGGCGUCGUCCACUUCCUGGAGGGGUGGGACCACCACGAGGUCGGCGCCAUCGACGUCGACCGGAUCGACGCCGUCUGGAACGCCGCGCUCAGGCACGGCCUCACGCCGGCGUGAACGCCGGCGACGGCGACGGCGGCUAGUAGUAACUACGUACAGCACGGGGACGCCGAAUAACUUUCGUGUUGUGCGUGUGUGUCGAUCGAUUGUACGUUGCAUUGUUCGCUCGCCCGGCUAGCUUAAUUAAUUAUCGGGCGUGCUUGUGUUGUGUGUUGAUAGCUAGCGUCGUACGUAAGAAUACCGCAGAAAUGACAAGAAAGAAUGGAUGAUUCCUCGUACACUUUGGGUGAUUGUUGCUCACUUUGGGAAUGGUUCAUCUGCAUCACUGCAUGUGUGUGGCGAUGCGCGAGAAACCGUCGUUGCAGUGAGAGUGAGACGUGCCGCGAGUGUAGCGGCCUCCCGAAUUUUUCCCGAGAGAAUUGUGGGCGUCGGCCCAUUUGCGGACGGACUCGCACACGCGGUUGAUUUGUUCCCGGGCCACAAACAAAUUGUUCCCAAUCCCACGAACGGCCCAGUUUGUUCGCACCGACAAAGCUUGUUUACGUUUUGGGCCGUUUCGGACCGACAGGUGGUCUUUUUGGUCAGCAACAUAGAAUAACUUUUUUAAGUAAACUGGUAACAUGAUUGUACUUUGUUAUAGUCCGGUGUCGAUAGGGAAAUGCCCCGGAUCGGUCGCUCGGGAGAGGGAGAAAUAUCGAGCGCUCUCUCCCCCCACGCGCUGCCUGUCCUUGGCUCCACCACGUCUCUGCUCUCAUCUGCCAUUUAUCUCCAUCAUAUACUCCAUUGCAACAAAUUACCUAUGUAUUUUAAAAAAAAUCUCUAUUAAGGAAAUUUGGUUUAUUUUUUAUUCCAAUAAAAAUAUUUCAUUUAGUGCACUUACAAUGUUUCAUUAUGUAUAGAUUUAAUGUUGCAGUGAACUGAAAUAUUUCAUUGCAACAAAACAAAUCACCCACAUAUUUUGGAAACCGCUAUUAAGGAAAUUCGGUUAUUUUUUGUUCCACAAAAAAUGUAUCACCUAGUGUACUUACAAUGUUUCACAAUGUAUAGAUCUAAUGUUGCAGUGAACUGAAACAUUCUUCGCUGUUUGCUGAAAGAUUGUUUAUAUAUAAGGUGAAACAACACCCGAUUUAAACGAGUGAAACAUUUUCGAUCUACUUAGUAAAACAAUUCCGAUAUACCUGAUGGAACAUCGUGCAACAUUUAAAAAUAAUUCAAUAAUAAGCUAAAUUUUUUUUCGUCGGAAUAUAUCCAUGUGUGGUCUUGUUUUGAAGAUUUAAUUACAACGAAUUUAAUGGUACAAUCGGAUCAUGAUUUGGAUAAGUAAUUUAAGAGAAAAAUCAGUUUAAAGUGGUUUUGUACGCAUACGUGGCGCUGACGUCAUAAUGUCAGCGUCCGAUUUUAACCCCCUCCCAUCGAGCGCCCGAGCCGAAGUCAUCCCCUUGUCCUUAUAACUAAAGAGUUACUCCCUCCACUUCAGGUUAUAAAACGUUUUGACUUUAGUCAAAGUCAAACUACCAUAAGUUUAAUUAAUUCUGUAGAAAAAAAUAGUAAUAUUUUUAACCUAAGACUAAUAUAUUAUAAAAAUUUAUUUAAUUAUAGAUUUAAUGAAACUAUGCUGGUGUUGUAAAUUUUACUAUUUUUUCUACAUAAUUAGUCAAACUUAAAGUAGUUUGAAUUUGACCAAAGUGAAAACGUCCUAUAACCUAUAAAACGGAGGGAGUAUUAUAUUAAAAAACAUAUAAACCGGUGCUUAAAGAAAAUGGACCGCGUGGAAUCGGAGGUAGAAGUUAUAGGACGAGUCUGCUUUGAAAAAAAUCUGAUAUAGGAGGUAGAAUGUUUUUGACUGUCAUGAAAAGAAGUGGUCCGUGCAGCGACAAAAAAGCAAAGAAAGUGUCACGCCGUGAAUUUGAUCAAUGUCGUUUUUUUUUGCAGAUGAUGAAAAGAAAAAAAAUAAUUAUGUUUAAUUUUCAAAUUAAACAUUGGUUCAUUAUAAGAUUUCAGAAUCAGUAAAUAUCUAUUGAAGAAAGAGGUGUAAAACUUUUGAUUUUUCAGCCAUCGGAUGCAUGGUAAGCGCUUGAUAUAAUUUCUAAAAUCGAACACGGACUUGCGUGGAGACGAAUCGUUUUCACGGCUCAUGCGUGGACGAUAGAUGGUGCGGACUCUAAUAUGUAGUGUUCUACAAAUGACAAAAAGAAAAAAAUAUGUUUAAUUUUUAAAUUAAAAACUGGUUCAUUAUAAGAUUUUAGAAUCACUAUACAUCCGUUGAAGAAAGAGGAGCAAAUAGAUGGUGCGGACUCUAAUAUAUCGUGUUUUGCAGAUGACGAAAGAAAAAAAAAUAAUACGUUCAAUUUUUAAAUUAAAAACUGGUUCAUUAUAAGAUUUCAGAAUCACUAAGGUGCUAGUGGCGGAGAGAAAAAAAUUGCGCAACAAUCUAGCGAGAGGCAAAGUAAUAAUAGGAUUUGAGAUGUGGGAGACAAAGUAGACUUAUUCCGAGUAGGAUUUGAAAUGUGGGAGGCAAAGUAGACUUAUUCUGAGGCAAAGUAAUAAUAGGAUUUGAGAUGUGGGGGGAAAAGUAGACAUUUCGAGCAAUCUAACCUGAGAGAGGCAAAAAAAAAGUAAUAAUAGGGAUUUGAGUUGUGGGAGGCAAAGUAGACUUAUUCCGAGGCAAAAAAUAAAAGUAAUAAUAGGGAUUUGAGUUGUGGGAGGCAAAGUAGACUUAUUCCGAGCAAUCUGGGAUGAGAGAGGCAAAGUAACAAUAUAUGUGUAGAAUGGAGAGGUGGUGGGAAUCGAACCGUGGUGGUCAGGUUGAAGAUUUCCUCCACAAACCAAGUAGGCAGGCUGCUAGUUGUGAUUGGUGGCUACAUGAGCAUACAUAUUGUAUAUCAACCGAGAUUUUAGAGUAGAUUAGAAAAGGUCCGAUCCGACUAUUAAGCGAAGUAAAACGGAUUUUUGGCAACGUGAUCUGCAUGACGGACGAAAAAAAAAAAUCCGGAAACCUUACUUAUUUUUUUAUUAGGUAUACUAGAAAAAAAUACCUGUGUAUUGCAACGGGUAAAAUUAUUUUUCGAUCGCUAUACAUUUUUCUUUGGUUUUGGAUAAAUACUCAUUCCUUAUUUACUUUAUAGUCCCAGCCCAGUCCGCUACCUCCCUCUGCUGGGCCUACCUCUCCUGCCUCUCUAAGACCUAACCCACAAGUGUAGCUGCAAUUCUAGCUCACAUAGUCAACUGCCGUCUUCAACCUCUAGAAGACAGUCUCGUGUCCAUACGAUGCCAAAACCGAUCCUCCCCAUCAAAUUCGGUCGAAUCUGUCUCGAUCUUCUAAAAUUGGAUGAGGACUUUUGAUACACUCGAUCUCCUCUUUUUGUUUUUAUCAAAAUCGGAGUGAAUCCGCAAAACUUGAUAAAAAAUGACUUUCAAUUAGAGAUUAAAUUCGGUGAAUUAAAGCAGAAUUGAAUGUGGAAAAUCAUGAGAAAAUGAUGAGAGAGUAGUGGGGAAUUGAUUUUUGCAACUAAUUGGAUGAGGGAAAGCAUAGAAAACUAAUUGAUUUUUGUCGACGUGACGACAGCGCUAGGGUUUGACCCGACGACGAAAAAAUAUGGCAGAUAAAAAAAUCCUACCAAAAAAAGUAAAAAUAAAAUAACGGAUAAAAAACGAAAAAAUAGGGAAAAGGUAAAAAAAAUGGAAGGAAAAAAUAGACGGACGGAGAGAAACGGAAAAAAAAGCGGGCGGAGAAAAAAAAAAGGAAAAAAAGGGGCGAGAACAAAUGGGAAAAAAAAGUAGACGGAAGGAAAGGAAAAAACGGAAAACCAAAAAAAAAAAGGGGGAAAACGAAAAGCAAACGGAUCGGAAAAAAAAAGAGGAAAACGGUGAAAAAGAAUGGACGGACGAAAUUUUUUUUACCGGAAGCUUUGCUUAUUUUUUAAUUAGGUUUAGAUAUAUACUAGAAAAGAUGCCCGUGCGUUGCAACGGGUAAAUACAUUUUUCAAUGAUAUAUUAAGAGCUAAGUUUGCAACGGGUAAAUAAUUUUUUCAGUGAUAUAUUAAGAGCUAAGUAAUAAACUGAAAUAUUGUGAUCACUAUACACUAAUAAUUGAAAAAGUUAAUAAAAAUCUUAACAUUGGCAUUGCUAUAAUGUUAAUGAAAAUAUUUCCUGGGUUUUUGCCAAAAGCCUUCCUUCUUUUUCAGCCUAGGCUAGUCCGCUACCUCCCUCUAUUUAGUCUGCUUCUCUUCGACCCUACCAUCUUCAAUUUCCCGAAUAUGACUACCAUCUUCAACCUCCUGAAGAUAAUCACGUGCCCGUAAGUUUGCCGGAGCAAAUCUCCCCAUCAAAUCCGUCCGAAUCUUUCUUGGUCAACCAAAAUUGGUCGAGGGUUUUUAUCCACUCGAUCUACUCUUUCCGUAUUCCCCAAAAUCAGAGUGUAAAACUCGGAAUAAAAAUGACCGGGGAACAUUACCGUCAUCAUCGGCAUCAAAUCCGGCCAAAUCUUUCUUGGUCAACCAAAAUUGGUUGAGGGUUUUUUAUCCACUCGAUCUACCCUUUCCGUUUUCCCCAAAAUCAGAGCGUAAAACUCGGGAUAAAAAUGACCGGGGAAGAUUGCCGUCAUCAUCGGCAACUGUUGAACAGAGAUUAAAUCUAGCAAUUAAAGCCAAAUCGAAGGGAAAAUCAUGGAGAAAAUGAUGAGAGAGGAGUGGGGAAACGUUUUUUGCAAUUAAAUUGGAGGACAAAACACAAAAUCGAUAUGGCGGCGGCGCGGCGCUAGGGUUCACCUCGGAAGGCGUGCAGCGAACAGAUGAGAUUAUAAAACUGGAUGAGAAAAAAAAAAGCGCACGGGAGAAAAACUGGCGACAAAAAAGAUUGACGAAAAAAACUAAAAACGCCCGAGAGGCGCGCAGUGGACAGAUCGGAUUAAAAAAGGGACCAAAAAAAACAAAAUCCUAAGCAUGUGCGCAUAAAAAACUUUUUUACGUGCAAAGAAAAAAGGAAAAAAAACGGACUUUUUUUUUCCUGGCAGAUUUAUUUUUCCUUUUUCUACGGGAGUCGGACAAGAGAUGUUUUUUUUUCUUUUUUUUUAACUGACAACGACCAAAGCUUUUUUUUAAGGGAAAAUCGGAACCAUGCCAUUAUAAUUUUAUAAAAUUUGAGAUAUGCCAUUUUGACCUACAUGUCAUUGACUCAUAUGGGUCUUAUAUGUCAUUGAGAUACCGAUGGCAUAUCUCAAACUUUGCAAAAUUAUAAUGGCAUGGUUCUAAUUUACCCUUUUUUUAAUCGCUUGUUAAGUCGGACUUUCUUUUAUUUCUUUAUUUACCUUUUUUUAGUCGGACUUUUUUUCUUUCUUUCUUUUUUACAGAAGACGGAAUCUAUUGUAGUAGAGAUAUAGAUUAAAACUGAAAAAUAAAAUUAAAACCGUUUCAAACACAGAUGACGUACCAAAAUUCUGGUAAAAACAUCUUAAACUUUUAUAAUAGGUAAAUAUAUAUAUAUAUAUAUAUAUAUAUAUAUAUAUAUAUAUAUAUAUAGUUUAGUUAAGAUGAAAUUCAUUGCGGGAGUUCGCUUGGAUAUAUAUAUUUUUAGAAAAUCAUGAGCUGCAGGUAGGAGUCCGAUCGUCUCAAGUUAGUAUGCGAGUUCUUUUCAACAGAUUUCUUAUAAUUCCAUCUAUAUUACCAAAAGUGAACGAUCUUGAAAACCGACUCAAAUACGGUUAUGUAUUUCCAAAAGCAAACAAACUUAAAAACCAACUUAUACGAGAUUUAGUACAUUAUAAUAUCGUGAGUCUGAAUAAAUUCAUAAUAGUACGACGUAUUAUAGUAGGUUCUCUUUAUGAAAGGAAGGAAGUAGUCCUCUUUGGACUGACUUGAUUCUGUGAUCGUUUUCUUCGGUUGAGACAAACAGAAGCAGGCUAACCUAGGAACCACAUGCGCACGUGACAGGUGAGACUCCCUACAAAGUGCAAUGUGAUUAAGAAAAGCAAACAUAUCAGUUUUGCUGACUCCUGAUGAUAAAAAGGUUUUACGCAAAGCAAGAACCAUGCUGUCUAGUGUCUACGGUAGCAAAAAGUGCAGAGCUUUUUUCUUGACACUGAACGAAAAUUGCUACUCGCUGUAGCCCCUCUCAAAGAUGGGUGAGAAAACGGUGGCGGAAAAGUUUGGUGAGAUAUUUUUAAGGAAGAAUUUCAUCACUUUCGAAAAGAAUGGCAUGGCCUUUCUGAACUGUCUCAUCUGUCCCUUUGCUUUAUAGAGAGGCAAAAAGCAAUAAGCAGGUGAUGGCAUGCAAAUCAAGAACAAAAGAUGAAUAGCAAGUGAUGACAACGACUACAUAAAACUGGUAAGCUAUUGAAAGAAAAUUCUCACUAACUAUUGAUGGAAAUUAUGUGCCUUUGAGGUGGUAUUUUAAGUAUUUUUUAAUUAAGUCAUAGUUUCAUAAUUCGUAAUCAGUUUUUUAAAAUAAAAGAAAAAUGUAUUCUCUAGGAAAUAAAUAAAACAUAUUUGCGAGGAUGAUAGGUGCGUAGUAGUAAGCCAAAUUAGAAGGCAUUGCCAUGGCAACUCCAGUAAUAGAGUGACGAAAUUUCCAUUCGGCUAUUUCUCCUCUCUUCAGGUUGUAUGCAUCUGAUCUCUUUGUGCUCCCGGUUCAUCCUCGUCAGAAAGAAUAAAUGACCGUGGACAAUAACACGAGAUAGUUUCACUAAAUUUACAAAUUGUAGAUAUUGACCGCAUCUAGGCUGUGUUUAGAUUGGCCCAAAGUUUAGAAUUUGAUUGAAAUUAAAGGCGAUAUGACUGAAAAGUUGUGUGUGUAUAAAAAGUUUGAUGUGAUAAAAAGUUGGAAGUUUAAAAAAAAACUUUGGAACUAAACACACCCCUACUUUACUACUCCAUACAAAACGGCUUGUUCUUUUUGUCAGAUGAAUAAAAGCUCGCCGAAUGGUAUUACCUAAAAAAACUGACUUGUUCUUUUCUUCUUAAUGAACAAAUGUGUACGGUUCCCGAGCAACGGUACGAUUUUUUUAAACACAGUAGCAACCGUAUGAUUUUGACAAGGAAAUUAUGUAUAUAAAUUUCUCAUAAUAUUAUCUUUUUUUGGGGAUUCUCAGAAUAUUAUCUAAUACUAUUUUUUAACUAAAUAAUAGUUCAUACCUCAAAUAAUGAUCACAAAUCGUUCACCUAUUAAAGAAAGAAGUAUUUAAUAUGUUCCUAUCCUAUUUUUAUAGGAUUUUGGAUUAAAAAAAAGGCAGACCGUUUACCAUUCAGUUGCUAAGGGCUCUUUUAAAAAAAACGUAAAUAUUAGAGAAUGAUCUAAUAUCAAAUAUCAAGUAGUUAGAAGGGAUGAGGUUUUAAACCCAGGUUGUUUAGCCCACCACCUUGUGAAGCUAGCCGGAAGACCCCUGAAUGUUUCUCGGCUCUUUUACAGUAUAGGAUUGUGGAAACAUAUGAAUAGGAAAACAUAGGAAUCAAAUAUCAUGCUUAUUGGAUUUCUACAAAAUUUCAAACACACAAAACUUUAAAAAUUAUCGUUUAGUUGACUCAUGGAAAAACAUAAGGAUUCGAUACACAAGUAGUAAACACGUGAGGUAAGAUCUUGUACUUAUUUUUCUUCAAAAUUACUCUAGAAUUCAUUCCGUAUGAAUUUGAUAGAUUGGAAAUAAUCCUUUGUUCCACAUGGCUCUAUAAAGAUUGUCUCCUAGAGGAUAAAUUCUCUGGAAUUUCUUUAUCUUUCUUUUGAACUUAUACAUUUUUUCUCUGUUUCAAAGGGGGCUAAGGGUGUGUUCGGCACCCCUUUUCCCAACCUCUCUCUUGUUUUCCGCGCACACGCUUUUCAAACUGCCAAAUGAUGCAUUUUUUGCAAAAAGUUUCUAUACAAAAGUUACUUAAAAAAAUCAAAUUAAUCAUUUUUAAAAAAAAUUAGCUAAUACUUUAUUAAUCACGCGCUAAUGGAUCGCUCCGUUUUCCGUGCGGGAGGGAUUAGUUCACAUCCCCCUGAAACCGAACACAGCCUAAGUCUCAUGUCAGCUUUUGCUAUACCACCCCUAAAUUUAUGGCCCCAUCGUUUCGCUUAUUCGGGAAAUAAGCGAAACAAUAUAUUUGCAAACGAAAAAUAAUUUGUAAAUAAAAUUUUUAUAUACGUGUUCUUAGCAAUCUAAAAGCAAAUGUUGAAAAAUAAACUUCGAUGUAAAAACCCCAAAUUCAACUCCGAAUUUAAAGUUAAAAAAUUUAAAUUUUGGCUAAUAAGUGUAAUAUAAUCAUAAGCUAUAAGAUUAGUACUACCUCCAUAUUUUAAUGUAUGACGCCGUUGACUUUUUGUCCAACGUUUGACCAUUCGUCUUAUUCAAAAAAUUUAUGUAAUUAUUAUUUAUUUUAUU
rnacentral:lncRNA from 1 species